rnacentral:snRNA from 1 species
GUACUUGCUUUGGCAGCACACACCCUAAAAUUGGGAUGAUAUAGAGAUUAGCAUGGCUCUUGUACAAGGAUAACACACAAAUUUGUGAAGUGUUCCAUAUUUAG